CAAUAGCGUAUAUUUAAGUUGCUGCAGUUAAAAAGCUCGUAGUUGGAUUUCGGGUGGGAAUGGCCGGUCCGCCGUUUCGGUGUGCACUUGCUACGCCCACCUUGCUGCCGGGGACGUGCUCUUGAGUUCACGCUCGGGACACGGAGUCGGCGAGGUUACUUUGAGUAAAUUAGAGUGUUCAAAGCAGGCCUACGCUCUGAAUACAUUAGCAUGGAAUAACACGAUAGGACUCUGGCCUAUCUUGUUGGUCUGUAGGACCGGAGUAAUGAUUAAGAGGGACAGUCGGGGGCAUUCGUAUUUCAUUGUCAGAGGUGAAAUUCUUGGAUUUGUUGAAGACGAUCUACUGCGAAAGCAUUUGCCAGGGAUGUUUUCAUUGA
rnacentral:rRNA from 1 species